GGCAAUUAAUGGCAAUCUAUGUCACUGACAUAUAUCACAAUUAUAUGAUUUACAUAGAUAUAGUUAGAUACUCAUAAUCGCUUGGUCACUGGUUCAAGUCCAGUAGGGGCCACCA
rnacentral:tRNA from 1 species